UCUAUGUUGAGGACGUCAUUG
rnacentral:piRNA from 1 species